AACGAGCGCUGGCGGCAUGCCUAACACAUGCAAGUCGAACGAAGCCUUCGGGCUUAGUGGCGCACGGGUGCGUAACACGUGGGAAUCUGCCCUUCGGUUCGGAAUAACAGUUAGAAAUGACUGCUAAUACCGGAUGAUGACGUAAGUCCAAAGAUUUAUCGCCGAAGGAUGAGCCCGCGUAGGAUUAGGUAGUUGGUAGGGUAAUGGCCUACCAAGCCGACGAUCCUUAGCUGGUCUGAGAGGAUGAUCAGCCACACUGGGACUGAGACACGGCCCAGACUCCUACGGGAGGCAGCAGUGGGGAAUAUUGGACAAUGGGCGAAAGCCUGAUCCAGCAAUGCCGCGUGAGUGAUGAAGGCCUUAGGGUUGUAAAGCUCUUUACCAGGGAUGAUAAUGACAGUACCUGGAGAUAAGCUACCGGCUAACUCCGUGCCAGCAGCCGCGGUAAU
rnacentral:rRNA from 1 species